GAUGAACGCUGGCGGCGUGCCUAAUACAUGCAAGUCGAGCGAACAGAUGAGAAGCUUGCUUCUCUGAUGUUAGCGGCGGACGGGUGAGUAACACGUGGGUAACCUACCUAUAAGACUGGGAUAACUCCGGGAAACCGGGGCUAAUACCGGAUAAUAUUUUGAACUGCAUGGUUCAAUAGUGAAAGACGGUUUCGGCUGUCACUUAUAGAUGGACCCGCGCCGUAUUAGCUAGUUGGUAAGGUAACGGCUUACCAAGGCGACGAUACGUAGCCGACCUGAGAGGGUGAUCGGCCACACUGGAACUGAGACACGGUCCAGACUCCUACGGGAGGCAGCAGUAGGGAAUCUUCCGCAAUGGGCGAAAGCCUGACGGAGCAACGCCGCGUGAGUGAUGGAGGUCUUCGGAUCGUAAAACUCUGUUGUUAGGGAAGAACAAAUUUGUUAGUAACUGAACAAGUCUUGACGGUACCUAACCAGAAAGCCACGGCUAACUACGUGCCAGCAGCCGCAGUAA
rnacentral:rRNA from 1 species